rnacentral:rRNA from 1 species
GAUGAACGCUGGCGGCGUGCCUAAUACAUGCAAGUCGAGCGAACAGAUGAGGAGCUUGCUCCUCUGACGUUAGCGGCGGACGGGUGAGUAACACGUGGAUAACCUACCUAUAAGACUGGGAUAACUUCGGGAAACCGGAGCUAAUACCGGAUAAUAUCUUGAACCGCAUGGUUCAUUAGUGAAAUACGGUUUUGCUGUCUCUUCUAGCUGGUUCUGCGCCGCAUUAGCUAGUUGGUAAGGUAACGGCUUACCAAGGCGACGAUGCGUAGCCGACCUGAGAGAGUGAUCGGCCGCACUGGAACUGAAACGGGGUCCAGACUACUAAGAGAGGCAGCAGAAGGGAAUCUUACGCAAUGGGCGGAAGCCUGACGGAGCAACGGCGCGUGAGUGAUGAAGGUCUUCGGAUCGUGAAACUCUGUUAUUAGGGAUAAACAAAUGUGUAAGUAACUAUGCACGUCUUGACGGUACCGGAUCAGGAAGCAACGGCUAACUACGUG